CUACGGAGGGUGCAAGCGUUACUCGGAAUCACUGGGCGUAAAGCGCGCGCAGGCGGGCUGAUAAGUUGGAUGUGAAAGCCUACGGCUCAACCGUAGAACUGCAUCCAAAACUGUCAGUCUAGAGUCUGGGAGGGGAAGAUGGAAUUAGUUGUGUAGGGGUAAAAUCCGUAGAGAUAACUAGGAAUACCAAAAGCGAAGGCGAUCUUCUGGAACAGUACUGACGCUGAGGCGCGAAAGCGUGGGGAGCAAACAGGAUUAGAUACCCUAGUAGUCC
rnacentral:rRNA from 1 species